AAAUAAGAAACAAUUAAUGUAUUUAGUUUCGACCUAAAAAAAAGAUUUUUAAAAAUCCUUAUUUU
rnacentral:tRNA from 1 species